rnacentral:rRNA from 1 species
UACGGGGGGGCAAGCGUUGUUCGGAAUUACUGGCGUAAAGGGCUCGUAGGCGGCCAACUAAGUCAGACGUGAAAUCCCUCGGCUUAACCGGGGGAACUGCAUCUGAUACUGGAUGGCUGAGUUCGGGAGAGGGAUGUGGAAUUCCAGGUGUAGCGGUGAAAUGCGUAGAUAUCUGGAGGAACACCGGUGGCGAAGGCGGCAAUCCUGGACCCGACACUGACGCUGAGGAGCGAAAGCCAGG